AGGACGAACGCUGGCGGCGUGCUUAACACAUGCAAGUCGAGCGGAAAGGCCCUUCGGGGUACUCGAGCGGCGAACGGGUGAGUAACACGUGAGUAACCUGCCCCUAGCUUCGGGAUAGCUCCGGGAAACCGGAAUUAAUACCGGAUACGACGACGGCCGACAUCGGCCGUGGUGGAAAGAUUUAUCGGCUAGGGAUGGGCUCGCGGCCUAUCAGCUUGUUGGUGGGGUAACUGCCUACCAAGGCGACGACGGGUAGCCGG
rnacentral:rRNA from 1 species